CCGGUUACAAGUCCAGAGUGCUAACCAGUGGGCCACGGCUGCCCCCAUAAUGAGCACGUUUACGAUACUGUUAGUAAACUCAAGUCAAGUCAGGUUAAAUCUUUAUAUUCUGCUAAUAAUAUACUGUUAGUAAACUCUAUCUGUCUAGGUUCUGUUAGUAAACUCUAUCUGUCUAGGUUCUGUUAGUGAACUCUUUCUGUCUAGGUUCUGUUAGUGAACUCUAUCUGUAGGUUCUGUUAGUGAACUCUAUCUGUCUAGGUUCUGUUAGUGAACUCUAUCUGUCUAAGUUCUGUUAGUAAACUCUAUAUGUAGGUUCUGUUAGUAAACUCUAUAUGUCUAGGUUCUGUUAGUAAACUCUAUCUGUCUAGGUUCUGUUAGUAAACUCUAGAUUCUGUUAGUAAACUCUAUCUGUCUAGGUUCUGCUAGUAAACUCUAUAUGUCUAGGUUCUGUUAGUGAACUCUAUCUGUCUAGGUUCUGUUAGUAAACUCUAUAUGUCUAGGUUCUGUUAGUAAACUCUAUAUGUCUAGGUUCUGUUAGUAAAUUCUAGGUUCUGCUAGUAAACUCUAUAUGUCUAGGUUCUGUUAGUAAACUCUAUCUGUCUAGGUUCUGUUAGUAAACUCUAUAUGUCUAGGUUCUGUUAGUAAACUCUAUAUGUCUAGGUUCUGUUAGUAAACUCUAUAUGUCUAGGUU